UACGGGGGGGGCAAGCGUUGUUCGGAUUUACUGGGCGUACAGGGAGCGUAGGCGGUUCGGUAAGCCCUCUGUGAAAUCCCCAGGCUUAACCUGGGAACUGCAUCCGAUACUGGAUGGCUUGAAUUCGGGAGAGGGAUGCAGAAUUCCAGGUGUAGCGGUGAAAUGCGUAGAUAUCUGGAGGAAUACCGGUGGCGAAGGCGGCAUCCUGGACCGGCAUUGACGCUGAGGAGCGAAAGCUAGGGGAGCAAACGGG
rnacentral:rRNA from 1 species